AAUCUGGAGAACAAAGGGGAGCUGCAUUUAUAGACAAAAAGGGGGAGAAGGGAUGGGCUGUUCUAAAGGAAAGUCCAUUGGCAGAAAGUAACAGUUCAGUGUGGCAACACUUCUCAUUGGCUGAGCUGUGGCAUUUCUCAUUGGCUGAGCUGUGGCAUUUCUCAUUGGCUGGGCU